rnacentral:rRNA from 1 species
GACGAACGCUGGCGGCGUGCUUAACACAUGCAAGUCGAACGGUGAAGGGAUCAGCUUGCUGGUUCUGGAUGAGUGGCGAACGGGUGAGUAACACGUGAGUAACCUGCCCCCUUCUUCUGGAUAACCGCAUGAAAGUGUGGCUAAUACGGGAUAUUCUGCGCCUGCUGCAUGGUGGGUGUGGGAAAGAUAUUGUUUCGGUGGGGGAUGGGCUCGCGGCCUAUCAGCUUGUUGGUGGGGUGAUGGCCUACCAAGGCGGUGACGGGUAGCCGGCCUGAGAGGGUGGACGGUCACACUGGGACUGAGACACGGCCCAGACUCCUACGGGAGGCAGCAGUGGGGAAUAUUGCACAAUGGGCGCAAGCCUGAUGCAGCGACGCCGCGUGAGGGAUGGAGGCCUUCGGGUUGUGAACCUCUUUCGCCAGUGAAGCAGGCCUGUCCCUUGUGGGUGGGUUGACGGUAGCUGGUUAAGAAGCGCCGGCUAACUACGUG